rnacentral:tRNA from 1 species
GGGGCUGUGGCGCAACUGGGAGCGCGAUUGCAUGGCAUGCAAUAGGUUGUCGGUUCGAGCCCGAUCAGCUCCA